rnacentral:rRNA from 1 species
ACAUACGGCCACAGGCAGUAGAGAAUACCGCGUCCCGUUUGCUCCGCUGAAGUCAAGCUACUGACCGGGCAGAUUAGUAGUUGGGUCGGUGACGAGCGAACACCGGCUGCUGUAUGUU